rnacentral:rRNA from 1 species
AUUGAACGCUGGCGGCAGGCUUAACACAUGCAAGUCGAACGAGUGGCGGACGGGUGAGUAAUGCUUGGGAAUCUGGCUUAUGGAGGGGGAUAACGACGGGAAACUGUCGCUAAUACCGCGUACCAUAGGAUGAGCCCACGUGGGAUUAGGUAGUUGGUGGGGUAAUGGCCGACCAAGCCGACGAUCUCUAGCUGGUCUGAGAGGAUGACCAGCCACACCGGGACUGAGACACGGCCCGGACUCCUACGGGAGGCAGCAGGGGGGAAUAUUGCGCAAUGGGCGGAAGUCUGACCGUGCAACGCCGCGUGAGUGAAGAAGGUUUUCGGAUCGUAAAGCUCUGUUGUAAGAGAAGCGGUAUCUUACCAGAAAGGGACGGCUAACUACGUGCCAGCAGCCGCGGUAAUUC